rnacentral:rRNA from 1 species
CCUACGGGAGGCAGCAGUGGGGAAUAUUGCGCAAUGGGCGAAAGCCUGACGCAGCGACGCCGCGUGAGGGAUGAAGGUCUUCGGAUCGUAAACCUCUGUCAGCAUGGAAGUACGGUCACUGUGCUAAUCAGCAUUGAAUUGACGGUACCUGCAAAGGAAGCAUCGGCUAACUCCGUGCCAGCCGCUGCUGUAAUACGGAGGGUGCGUGCGUUAAUUGGAAUUACUGGGCGUAAAGCGCUCGUAGGCGGUAUGUCAAGUCACGGGUGAAAGGCCCGCGCUCAACGUUAGAACUGCAUUUGAAACUGGCAGACUGGAGUGUGUGAGAGGAUAGUGGAAUUCGAGGUGUAGGAGUGAAAUCCGUAGAUAUCUGGAAGAACACCAGUGGCGAAGGCGGCUAACUGGAACAUAACUGACGCUGAGGAGCGAAAGCGUGGGUAGCAAACAGGAUUAGAUACCCUUGUAGUC